rnacentral:misc_RNA from 1 species
UUUCCGUAGGUGAACCUGCGGAAGGAUCAUCAUCAAGUUUUAACUAAUAUCAAGGACUCUGUGAGGGGCAACCUUUGCAGAUUCUCCUUGGUAAUUAACCAAUGUGAAUUGGGGGAAGUAUAUUGAAGGACGCAAGUCUUGACUAUAUAUUGAACUCAUUUUUUCUCUUGAUGCAAAGACCAAUGUGUGUCAAAGCACAUAUGUUUUAGUGUCUUGAGAGAUAUUAACUAUUAAAAGAGUCGGAUAAAAAACAAAAAAUUAAAAACAACUUUUAACAAUGGAUCUCUUGGCUCUU